UGAGGAAUAUUGGUCAAUGGGCGCAAGCCUGAACCAGCCAUCCCGCGUGCAGGAAGACGGCCCUAUGGGUUGUAAACUGCUUUUCCAGGCGGAGAAUUUUUCUGUCGUGACAGGAAUUGACGGUACCCUGGGAAUAAGCAUCGGCUAACUCCGUGCCAGCAGCCGCGGUAAUACGGAGGAUGCGAACGUUAUCCGGAUUUAUUGGGUUUAAAGGGUGCGUAGGCGGAUAGAUAAGUCAGUGGUGAAAACCUGCAGCUUAACUGUAGACUUGCCGUUGAUACUGUCAGUCUUGAGUAUGGUCAAGGUAGGCGGAAUGUGUAAUGUAGCGGUGAAAUGCUUAGAUAUUACACAGAACACCGAUUGCGAAGGCAGCUUACUAAGAUACAACUGACGCUGAGGCACGAAAGCGUGGGGAUCGAACA
rnacentral:rRNA from 1 species